CCAGCAACAAACAGAAGCAACCACUGUCCUGUCCAGAACAUGUAUAUCUUCAGUUUUGGUUGCCUUCCGUUUACUUGCCAACAAGCGACACUGAGCUCACAUAUUUAUUGUUUGCUUUGUUAUAUACUUAAUCUGCUAGACAAAGUGUAAAAGGGAAAUUCAUGCUCGACAAUUUUGUAUAUUUAUAAACCUAGAUGCUACUCUAAUUGGUUUUACUUCUUCCAUAUAUUUUCUCCUCCCAGUGUGUAUAAACAGUGCACAAAGUUAAUUUCUUUUCCGUCUUGACCGCAUCUAAUUUUAAAGAAAAUAGAGAGGAAUCUGAGAGAUACACAACCAGAAGAAUUUUGUUUCUUUGACUUAUCAAUCAUGUCUAACUUUUGGUAAAAGAGAGGAAUUUGAGAUAGAUAGAUAGCCUGAACAGCUUUGAACAGCUUUGAACAUCCGAGUAUGCUGCCGGCCUCCUCGCCGUGCACCAGUGUGUGGCAGCUGCUGAGAUGUGCGCAGUUUACUCCCGGUUCCGUGAUGGUGUUGAAAAGCACCUUAACUGAGCCAAGGAAUUUAGUAGCAUUGUGGGACGAUUAACCAAAUUUUUUCCUCUUCCUAUACUAUCUUCUCAUAUUAUAAUUUUGGUGUCCUGGUAGGCAGGGAUCAGCUUUGGUGGCAUCCGAUGCUGCCAGGCCACGGGGUUAGAGCAGAGGAGGCUGACAUGGUGUUCGACAUUCAGAUGGUCAUUGUGAUCGACCAGAUGCGGCGCCUCAUGUCACCCCGAGCCUCCAGGACUUGUUAGCGGUGCUCAUAAAGUAAGCUCAUAGAGUAAGAAUAUGCUUGCAAGUGCUCAUUUCCCAUAUGCUUGCCCACUCCUGUCUCGCAUCAAGCUUUCAUUUAUUUCCCUAAAAUUCCUCUAAUUUUGUUGUGUGCAUGUCUGAGAAAGAAAUAAGAGGAAUAAGCUAUGGUACGUCUUGGCGAAGUACAUUAUUUCCCUGGCUUGUGAAGUUAAUGCGCCCAAAUUCGCGUACAGUCUGGUUUCGGACUAACAAUGGCUCCUUGUGUUAUAUUGCAACUAGAAAAAGAGAUGGGCAUAAUAAAGAAGCUUGGUGAACAAAUAUAUAUCUGAACCCUCUACACAGUAUAGAUGCUAUAAUUUUUGUUAAAUGGAAGUUAGAUUCAGAUUCUUAAAAAUAUUAUCAUUCAGUCCUAUACAUACAAAGUACCUGCAACCCGCAUCUCUAAACAACGCGAACCUAUCCACAAUCAUAAACUUGUGUAUUGAUCCUCCAUUCAGAUUUCUUAUUAGCUCAUUCUGGCCUGUGUGAAAUUUUUGUGUUUGCUUUACAAUGGCCCAAUGCAUUUCGGUCGAUAUAUAUGUGAUGCCAUUGGUUGGCCUGGAUCGGAUAGCUAGGUUUGAUCGAUUCGGUUAAUAUAUGUUUAUGUUUCUGUUUAGGUUUCAGCACCUUUUGAUGCGUGUGCGUGCUGCCAUUGAUUAACUUCAUCUGUUUUGCUGGCUAUUCUAUGUGCAUUUACAUGUAUAGGAUAGUCAUUUUGAUUCAGUUAAGAUAUGUUCAGAUUUCUGUUUAGAUUUCGGCACCUUUUAAAUGUGCUACCAUGGGGUAACCUGAGUCUAUUUUAAUGGCAACGGGACCUGCAAGUGCAUGGCCCACUGCUAAUAGUCCUAGAAGCGAUCGAAAUUGUUGCUAUUUUGACUUUGUCUGCUACAUGGACUGCUAUUCUGAUCUCUAUGUUUUCCCAUUGCUUCAUUCAGUAUGUCCACGUAAAACCAGAAAUUACAUGCAUUUGAAUGAUGAUAGCUUAGCACUCGAUGAUAAAUGUGAUGUUGUUUUAUGUUAAUGUGAAACCCGAUCUAUCGGUUGUUAGUUUGAAUCAGUACCCAAGCCAUCCUCCUCACUGCCCUCCUCUUAGUUAUUUAGGUAGUUCUUCCUUCUUGGGUAACAAUGAGAAAACGAUUAGGUUGGUUACACAGUAUACUUCAUGAUUGCGGUAGGCACAAAAUGCUUGGCAGACUAAAAUAACUAUGCCUCAUUUCUAUUAUCAAGCUCUAAGUGUAUAUUGAGAUGCCUUUGUACAAUGGAAGAUCCAUGGGGUUGUUUGUUUGCUUGUAGAUUUUCGUGCAGAUAUUUGAAUUGUGCAAAUUUUUAAUUUGAGUUAUAAUUUGUUGUCUCUCGAUGUCGCUAAUUUUGUAUGAGCUGGAGGUGACCAUUAUCAUGUUCUUUCUAUUUUUUAUAGACAAUGUUUUAUUUCUAAUAUUUAGUUUCAUUCCAAGAUUAAUGAUGCUUUCACUCUGUUUUCAAAUUGACAAUUUCCGCCGACCGUUGUUGCACUCAAUGAUGGUUGAUGCCAACGUCGUCCAUUAGCAUUUAUUAUGUUGAAAAUUGCUUCACUCGGUCAUCUCUGCUUUUGACGCCACAAAAACAUGUGACAACUAAUUUAUGCUUGAUUAUUUGCUCAUUUUUAUUCCUUAUACAUUUAGCUCUUGUCCUUGAUUAGUUCAUUUGCAAGGAGAGUGUUUGUGUUCAACAUAAUAUUCCAUUUCCAGGUUUGCACUAAAACUAACUGCAAUAGAAGAAAGUGCAUGAAGAAUGAACAAGGAAAAGCUACAGAUUGAUAUGUAUAGGUUACAAAUUUUUCUACCUCCACCCCAUAUUCCCACUUAUGGUUCAGUGAAGAGUAUGAUUUCUCGCUUGGGAGGAUGCCAUACACAAGAUAUGCAUUUGUUUCCGAUGCCUUUUCAUUACAGUUGCUUUUGUUUAAAUUAUAAAGAGUUAAAUACAUCAUGAGUGCCUAAACUUGUUCGUUGCGCUCAGUUUAGUGCCUAAACUUGUAAAAUACAAAAAAAAUGGUGCUAUAACUUGUCGCACGGUGCAUAUACGGUGCCUCCACCCGUAUGCCAUCGUAUUUGCUCUCUGUGUGGCGUGACAACUGGCAGCUGGCCCACAGAUCAGUGGGUGAGCGUUGUCUGCGCUGGGUGAAAUGCAUACGAGUUGUUUUUGCAGAAAUUUACGUGAGAUUUAAUUAAAGUCACAAAUAAGCCAUUGUUCUAUAUGCUAAUAACAGGAAAAAAAUUACUGUGUCAUUGAAUUGGUUUUGACCUUGGGACCUCCAGGUUAAAUAGCACGCACGCUAGACGCCAAGACUAAUAUUACUUAUACAAUCUACUAUCGCUCUGCAAUUUCCAUUAUAUUGUUUUCAAGUUACCGUUUGGUUUUUACAAUAUAUGUAAAAUUUCCAAUAUACAAAUACGCAACAAUUGUCUAUUAAAAUCUUUAUUCUAUUUUUAUUAUUUGUAGUUUGAAGAGGUAAACCCGAACUGUUUGUAAAAUUUAUAUGGAUUUAAAAAGUUCAACAUAUAUUAUAAAAUAUUGCCUAACUUUUUUGUAUCUUCAUCCAGAACUAUUUUGUAUCUUCAUUGUAUUUUUAAAAUACAUAAUUAUUUAAAAAUCAACAAAGUUGUAUUUUGAAAAUUGUUCAAUAUGUAUUAAAAAUGAUUGUGUAAAAAGAAUAAAUUCAAUAAAUGGGUUAAAACAUGUUAAACGUGUUUGUAGAAAUGUAAGAAUAAUUUUACACAAUAAUUAUUUUAAUACAUAUAGAACAUUUUAUGAAAUUGAUGUUGUAAUUUUUUUUGAAUGCGUGACGGUCAUUUUUCAAAUACACGUUUACAAUGUCUUAAUAGAAGUGAGAAUUUUCCAAAAAUAUGUUGACUUUUUGGAAAAAUACACGUUGAAAAUGCACUGUUCUUGGCCUAUUGGUUAGCACAUGUGCACAUUGUGCGCGAGGUAAUGAAGUCGAAUGCUGCCGGUGUGUGCUCUUUUUUCUUGUUAUUACACUCUAUUUUAUCCCACAUGCUGACAUGCAGGGCGUAGAUCUGACAGAUGAGGUAAAUGCAGUUUGGCAUAUUUAAAUAAAAAAUAUCAGGAGGUUUUGUGAAAAUUAUUUAAAGUACAAGGAAUUUUCUGUAAAACAACUAGCACACACCUCUCACAGGAAUUGACAUGUGGGUCGACGCCAUGUUGACACACCAUGUGGGCUUUGCAUAUGCCUAAAUACGGACAGAGGCACUGUAUUUGAACGUUCAAACAAGUUACGACACCAGUUUCAUGUAUUUUACAAGUUUAGGCAUCAAAGUGAUCGCAUCGGACAAGUUGAGGCACCCGUGAUGUAUUUAGCUCAAUUAUAAAAGCAGCCUUCUAGAGCAGAUCAUUUUUUAUGGAUAUAUGACGACAGGUUUGCGAUUGCAUUGUCAAAAGCAAACCUAGGGUGUUUGAUGUUUCCAUGUAGUUUUAAAACAACCUCCUAGCACUGUUCAUUAUAUAUAUACAUUGAUGCGCUUCUCCAUAUUUGAGGCAUCGUUUGGGUUUUAUCUACUUGUCCAUGAAGGAUGCUUCAUGAGGAAAAUUCCUCAUAUAAUAUUUUUUGAGAGGAAGAGUUUAGGGAGUACUAUAAUUCUGAAGAUAUGCCAGAGAAUUGAAUAUGAACUCACAUAAAGAAUCGAGAUUACAAACGUAGAGGCUUCACUAGAAGAGAGGCCCUUUCUGUAGAUCACAAGAGACAUGUUUUUUGUAGGUACAAGAACCAUAUUUCUAUUUACGAUUAUCUCCUAGCAAUGAAAGUCGUAUGUGACAAACAUGAAUAAGCUAGGGGAAAGGUCAACUGCUCUCUUCCUUUUUGUUUUGAGUGUUAACUUCUGUUUUCAAUUUCCAACUUUGUGCAACUAUUUUCUAUAUAUGUAUAGGUGCUUGCUAUGUUAGAGAUAAAAAAGGAUCUUGGUUACAGCAAGCCACGUGGGGGUUACAGCAAGCCACGUGAGCACAUGGCAUGGAGAAAUGCCAGUGUUCUUGAAAUCCCUUGUUGCAUUUGUUCUUUGUCCUUCUGGGAUGUUACUAAGACAUCCUUUACUAAGACAUCAUUUUCUUAGGUAUUGAGUAGGAUUUUAGCUGCACAACUUGUUGAAAAAAAUCAAUGCUUAAGUUGACGAUAAGGUGAUGUUUGGCCUUGGCCUUUUGUUCUAAUCAUUUGUUGUUAUUAUCACAUAUCAUUUCAUCAUUUUUUUUGGCUUCAUUCUUUCCUUCCUGCUUGCGGCAGGUAGAAGACUCGGGUAAUGGGCAGGUAGAAGACUCGGGCAACGGUUAAUUGACAAGCACUAUAUACACAAUGCAUCUCUGCUAAUAUAGCUUACUUUAUAAAGCCAUCAAUGUAUGCUAUUAUCAAGUGAUUUGAAUAUUUUAUUUUAAGCUAUCAUAUAAUGGAAUAUAAGUAUCCAUUAACUUGGUUCUAAACCAGUCUAAUAUGCAUGGUUUGAAUGCUCGGCUUGCUCUCCUUUUUGCGUGAUAUGAAUAUUUUCUUUUAAGCUAUAAUGUAAUGGAAUGUAAGCAUUUAUUAAGUUGGUUUAAAUCAAUCUCAUAUGCAUGAUUUUAAUACUCGGCUGGCUCUUUCCUUUUGCGCUAUGGGCGCAAC
rnacentral:lncRNA from 1 species